CAGCCGCCGCGGGAAUACGGAGGGGGCUAGCGUUGUUCGGAAUUACUGGGCGUAAAGCGCACGUAGGCGGCUUUGUAAGUUAGAGGUGAAAGCCUGGAGCUCAACUCCAGAAUUGCCUUUAAGACUGCAUCGCUUGAAUCCGGGAGAGGUGAGUGGAAUUCCGAGUGUAGAGGUGAAAUUCGUAGAUAUUCGGAAGAACACCAGUGGCGAAGGCGGCUCACUGGACCGGCAUUGACGCUGAGGUGCGAAAGCGUGGGGAGCAAACAGGAUUAGAUACCCCUGUAGUCCCUGUCUCUUAUAC
rnacentral:rRNA from 1 species